CUUCCUUGGACAAGCACCACAGCAAGAUGAUUGAUAUCAUCAGAAACAAGGGAGGAGCUGUCAGAGAGAAGACCCGGAACAUACUGAGAGUUUUGGAUCAGAGUCUUGAGGUAAAUGUAAAGAGAGAGUGCUGAAGUCCCUUAUUGUGUACCUUGGGGAGGAUGUGGACAAACUUAUCAAGGAGUAUCUGGUUGCUCAGAAGGACCAAGCUGAAACGGAGCUCGAGAGGUGUACAAUGGCAGUGUUUGUUAUAAGGGAGGAGGAGGAUCCUCUCCAGCCACCACAGGACGUUGGGGUUGUAAUAGAAGGUGUGGACGUCCUUAACAAGCUGCCAUCAGUUACACAUGCAUGUGCCAUGUUAUUUGGCCUCAUCUACGCUCUAAACUUGAGCUAUCCAGGUGAGCUCAAAUACACUUUUGAUGCGCUGCAGAAAAUCUUCAUGGAGAUUGAACCAAAGACAAUGAGACGCAGAGUGUGCAGUCUGAGUGUCAAGCUCUAAAGAAUGGCUUAUUCGAAGAAACAGACAUUUGGAUACAGCAUGUUUUUGUUCUGUGUUCUAGCUUGUAUUCACAAACCUUGCAGGAGAAUGAAAGGGGUCAUUGUUAAA